CUGGGCGCGGUCCCGCCCCGGGGCGUCGUCACCGCCGCCUCCUCAAGGCGGGCCGCGCGGGUGCCCCGGGGGCAGCCCGUCACCUCCCUUCCCUCCUGCCCUCCCGUGUCUCUUUAGUUUCAUCUUCCCCGGGGAAACGGCCAGCCUGCGGGCUAACCCCCUGCGUGCCAGCGUGCGGCUCCCCGGGAGGCAGAGCUCCUUCUGGGCUGGCUUUCUGGUGCCCAGGUGCAGACACCCUGGGUGGGGAGCAGUGGGCCUUGACCUAGUCUCAUCCCCUCCAUGGCUUUGGGAGCCAAGACAGGGCUGGAGAUGAGCUGCAGCAGUGAGGCGGGUGAAGGCACGGCCCCACCCUGUUAUGUGGGACAGUCCUGUAAGUCAGAGUUGUGGCAUUUAGGGUUGGUAUCGUGAGGACACUUUUGGAGAUUUUCUUCUGUGGAUUUUAGAAACAGGGUAUCAGACAAUCAGUUGUUUUGUGUCCCUUUUGCCGGGGACCACAUGAUUUUCACUCUCUUUUCCUUUUAAAUUACAGGCUUGGGCAUUUGGUCAUUGUCAGUAUGGCAGUGGGAGAGCUGGAAGCCAGCUGUGUGCUGGGCCAGUUGUGUGAAGGUCCAUCCCCUGCCCUGUAACCUAGCACAGAAGAUGCACUCCCUGCCUUCUGUUUUUCUUUUGUUCAAACUUUGUCAUCCUAAACUGGAUGAUGCCUACAGCCAUCUGCUGUGUUUGGUAGUCUGCGGCAUCAUGCCGACUCAAUUAUGCGCCUGUUUGGGAUAACAGCAGGCCAGUUUUCUCUUCAACUUUGAAAGAGUGUUUUUCCUGUGCAAAUGAAGGCUGAGAUAAGUAGGAGCCUCCAGAAGCAAGCUGGAUAAGCUGUUCGCAGCCACAUCAGGUGGACUCUUCAUGUCUGCGUGGUGGAGCUGUCUGGGUGAGGUGGGAGAGCUGCCAGUCUUUCGCUGCAGCUGAGAUGCUGCGUCCUGGGGCUGGGUGCUCUGAGGUGCUGGCAGAUGUGCUCCCCUGUGGCAGCAUUUAACCGUUUGGCACUUUUAAUCUUUACCACCUCCUUUGCUUCAUGUGAAUAUAUAUUACAUCAAGUGGUUUGGGAUGAUAUGAAAUUAAAAGGAGAUGGCGCAAGUAUAAAUGAUUAUAGUUGUCUUUUUUCUAAGCACCCAGGGGAGAAGAGCUACAAAGAGAUCAUUGUGAGCCGUACAGUGGGUUCCUAGCAAAGUGAGUUGUUUCAUUAUACUUUCGUACUCACACAGAAGUGACCAAACAAGAGGAUUUGUGUGUGUGUGUGAUACAACCCGUGGCCUCUGUCUUCUUCCUGUCGUGGGCUGGGGGAGACAUAACCAGAACCUGGGGUAAAAUGUUAUCCUUUUAUUUUGCUGCAGGCUUAGGUUAUGUUUUGAGACUCCAAGGCUGCUCCCCAUUUUCUUCUUUGCCUUCGCUGCAGGUGGUGGACCUGAUGGCUUUCAACAUGCAGUCGUCGAGACUGACUGAGUUUCUGUGGGCUGUCUAUAGCACCCUAAUCCUUUUUCCCCUUCAGUAUAUACUCUUCUCUGUUAUAUGAGGAUGGGGGUCAGAUCAAGUGGUGUGGAGCUAGAAGAGGGGACAUAAACCUCAUCGCAGGGACCCAUGCUAUUUACAUUCAAGACAUUUCUGGACCCACCAGCUGUUCCAUGUGUGUUAUUUUCAGAAGGGCAAUAAUCCACAGGAGGCCAGGAGGGUGGAAUUGUGUGAAUACGCUGGGUGAAGGAGAUCAAGACGCCUGGAAGUCCUCAGGCCUUGUCAUGACAGAGAGUCAGGAUCCCAGAUGAUCGUGGCUUGCGGACUGGGAGAACUCAAGGAGAGCUCUGAAUGUGCUGCUUCUAUGCCUAGGAAACGCUGCUUGGCUGGGCAUUUGUUAGCUGCUUUCAGGAGUCAUCUGUGUUUACAAUGCUGGCAGGACCACCUGUUCUUUUUUGAACAAUAAUAUAUAUAUGUGUGUGUGUAUA